GGUCUGGGUAAUCUUCUCAAAGCGAAUCGUGCUGGGGAUAGAUUAUUGUAAUUUUUAAUCUUCAACGAGGAAUUCCUAGUAAACGCAAGUCAUCAACUUGCAUUGAUUACGUCCCUGCCCUU
rnacentral:rRNA from 1 species